rnacentral:lncRNA from 1 species
GAUGCAGCUCCUCCCACCUCCCACCCCCACCGCCACCAAAUGCCCCGUCAUAUGAGGGAGGAGGGCUUGGACAUGAGCAAGUGCUGGGGAAGCAAAAAGCCACAGUUGUGAGUGUUCCAGAACUCCUGAGUGGAAGAGAGACUGCGAUGGAUGCAAAGAAGCCGAGGAAAUGCAGUUUGACAUCCUUCCCGAUUUUGAAAGCGAGAAAGAAACAAAAUCUCACCGCUGUGAAGGU